ACAAAAACAUCUCUUUUUGACACAUAAAAAGUACCGUCUGCUCAAUGCAAUUUGUAAAUAGCCGCAGUAUUCUGACUGUGCUAAGGUAGCAUAAUCAUUAGUCUUUUAAUUGAAGGCUGGUAUGAAUGACGAGACGAGAAAAUAGCUGUCUCUAAAAUAAAUCUUGAAUUUUAUUUCUAAGUGAAAAAGCUUAGAUAAUUUUAAAGGACGAUCAGACCCUUUGGAGCUUUAUUUAUUUUAAAUUUUAAUUUAUUUUAGAUUAUUGAAUGAAUAAUAAAUUUUGUUGGGGCGACAGAGAGUAAUAAAUACCACUCUUUUUUUUAAACAAUUAUAAUUGAAAAAUUGAUCCUUAAAGUAAGAUUAAAAGACUAAGUUACCCUAGGGAUAACAGCGUAAUCUUCUUGGAGAGUUCAAAUCGAUAAGAAGGUUUGCGACCUCGAUGUUGGAUUAAGAGAUUGACAAGGUGCAGAAGUUUUGUUGGAAAGUCUGUUCGACUUUUAAUUUCUUACAUGAUCUG
rnacentral:rRNA from 1 species